rfam:Anabaena sp. CRKS33 110, whole genome shotgun sequence.
GUUCCACUACGACGAUUGGUGACUGCCAUCAAGUUUUUUGAUCUAUGUCUUUAACAACAAGGGAGCUAAAUACUUCUCAUGGCAGUAUACCGGGCUUGUACCCGGAAACUUUAAAUGAGAAACCUCGGUUCCCACCUGGUUUAACCAGGUCAUAAACUUAGGUAAAACGGCGUUGUGGUGAACUA